GUGGGGAAUCUUGCGCAAUGGGCGAAAGCCUGACGCAGCCAUGCCGCGUGAAUGAUGAAGGUCUUAGGAUUGUAAAAUUCUUUCACCGGGGACGAUAAUGACGGUACCCGGAGAAGAAGCCCCGGCUAACUUCGUGCCAGCAGCCGCGGUAAUACGAAGGGGGCUAGCGUUGCUCGGAAUUACUGGGCGUAAAGGGAGCGUAGGCGGACAUUUAAGUCAGGGGUGAAAUCCCGGGGCUCAACCUCGGAAUUGCCUUUGAUACUGGGUGUCUUGAGUGUGAGAGAGGUAUGUGGAACUCCGAGUGUAGAGGUGAAAUUCGUAGAUAUUCGGAAGAACACCAGUGGCGAAGGCGACAUACUGGCUCAUUACUGACGCUGAGGCUCGAAAGCGUGGGGAGCAAACAGGAUUAGAAACCCUGGUAGUCC
rnacentral:rRNA from 1 species